rnacentral:hammerhead_ribozyme from 1 species
AUCCAGCUGACGAGUCCCAAAUAGGAUUAAAUACGCGUCCUGGAU